UAAUACAUGCAAGUCGAGCGAGCGGAACUAACAGAUUUACUUCGGUAAUGACGUUAGGAAAGCGAGCGGCGGAUGGGUGAGUAACACGUGGGGAACCUGCCCAUAGUCUGGGAUACCACUUGGGAAACAGGUGCUAAUACCGGAUAAGAAAGCAGAUCGCAUGAUCAGCUUUUAAAAGGCGGCGUUAAAGCUGUCGCUAUGGGAUGGGCCCCGCGGUGCAUUAGCUAGUUGGUAAGGUAAAAGGCUUACCAAAGGGCGAUGAUGCAUAGCCGAGUUGAGAGACUGAUCGGCCACAUUGGGGACUGAGACACGGCCCAAACUCCUACGGGAGGCAGCAGUAGGGAAUCUUCCACAAUGGACGCAAGUCUGAUGGAGCAACGCCGCGUGAGUGAAGAAGGUUUUCGGAUCGUAAAGCUCUGUCGUUGGUGAAGAAGGAUAGAGGUAGUAACUGGCCUUUAUUUGACGGUAAUCAGCCAGAAAGUCACGGCUAACUACGUGCCAGCAGCUGCGGGUAAAU
rnacentral:rRNA from 1 species